GGUGGUUGAUUUCACAACCACUUGUGUAGUGACACUAAUAUAAGGAUGUGGGUGCUUAUUAGAGAAUGAGUUCACUGAAUAAACCUACGAGAGAACAUCUGAUGGAGUCUUAUUUAUAUGUCAGCUGAUUGUUCUCUAGUGGGAGUUGUGUAAGUGAUCCUUUGACCUGAGAUUGCCAUGGUAUCUUGUGUAUAUGAAAAUCAUAUUUUGGUUCACUUUCUAACUUGGUUCUCUGAUCCUUAUAUGGGAUGUUCUGGAUGU
rnacentral:lncRNA from 1 species